UACAUUUUUACAUAUGUACCAGCUUUAGUAAAUAAAACAGUUUAUGUAAGUUUCAAUAGUGAGCUUUUGGAUAAAACGAUGAAAGAUAUUAGCUAUUGAAUAUUGCCUAAAAGAUCUUACCAAUAAAUCAAGCAAUAUUUCACAUUCACCAGAAGAAGUACAAUCAUUGUAUUUAAAGAGUAUAUCAGAUCGAAAACUUUCAACUGAGAGUGCUAUUCCCUUAGGUGCAAAUAAUAUUGAUUGUGAAGUGAACUCUGACAGUAAUCUAAAAAAUUCUGAUUCUUAAUCUUACCCAUUAGAGUCAUCAGAUUCUGAAACAAUUGAUGAUGUCAACAAUGAAAAACUAAAAAAUGAUUUGAUACAGUGGGCAGUUAAGUUUGCUAUAACUGAUGAAGCAUUAGCAUCUUUGUUAAAAAUUUUGGGUAAUUUGUUUCCUGAAUUGCCGAAGGAUACACGCACUCUACGUCAAAGUCUUUUGUACCUGUUACUAAUAUAACUGGAGGACAGUAUUGUCAUUUUGGUAUUAGACAAGAUAAUAGCUUUGGCAAGUAAAUUAGGCUAGACUUUAAAGGAGGCUGUCCGGAAAAUGUCCUUUGCAUUAUUUACUAAUAAUGUCUGCUGUAAACUUAACUGGUCUGGUAUUACCAGAAAUGACAAUGAAAGUAACUUCGUAAAACAAAGUCUAAAAGACUUACACUUGCUUAAAAGAGCUGUAAAAAGAAAUCCUGCAACAACUUCAGCAACUGAAUCAGAUUUUCAAUAUGAGGUUGUGCGUUUUUUGCGUGGUGCAUAAGACCGCAAUGGCGGAUAAAAAGUUAGACAAGACCAAAAAAACAAACAGGCUAAGAAAAAAGUGAUGCCUACUUCAAGUUUUCCAAAACCAUUACAUAAAGACGGCUUUUUUUAGUUCAGAAGAUAAAUAACAUUGUUAAAUUAAAUAAGCAUCUUUAUUUACAAACUUGUUUUCUUUAUUUUACAAUAAUUAAUAUAUUUUUAAAUAUUUUUAUUUUUAAACUCAAUGGAGUAAAGUUUUUGUGCAAUGAGUAUUACUGUUUCCGUGUUUUUCAUAUUCAUUUCCUUUUACAGUAACCUAUUGUAGAUGAGAAUUUAAAUCGUGAUAUUGAAUCUUACCAGAGAAUAAAGAAACUGUUUACCUCAACCAAAGUUAUAUUUCAUAGAAUUAUGUUGACCAUGAUCCAAAUAUUGCCAUGGGCUAAUGGUUUGCAAAAGGUUCACCAUUGCCCUUAAGUAGCUGUGGGUUUUACGGUUUUACUUCCAACCUGGCAUAUAAAUGCACUUAGUAUCUGAAGUUAUUUGUCAAUAACUGGUGAUCAGACUAUUUCAAACGAACACGUUUUUAAGGGCUGAGAAGGUGAAAGUUAGAAGUCUGCAGACUGCAACGUAAAUCAAUUUUCAACACACGGUUUCCUGAAUAUAUUUAUUUUUCGAUUGAAAUUAGAAUAAACUGAACUAAUUGAUAUGUUGAAAAUUAACUAUUUUAUAUUUUAAACGUUCGCUAAACG
rnacentral:lncRNA from 1 species